rnacentral:rRNA from 1 species
AGCGAACGCUGGCGGCAGGCUUAACACAUGCAAGUCGAGCGGGCAUAGCAAUAUGUCAGCGGCAGACGGGUGAGUAACGCGUGGGAACGUACCUUUUGGUUCGGAACAACACAGGGAAACUUGUGCUAAUACCGGAUAAGCCCUUACGGGGAAAGAUUUAUCGCCGAAAGAUCGGCCCCCGUCUGUUUAGCUAGUUGGUGAGGUAAUGACUCACCAAGGCGACGAUCAGUAGCUGGUCUGAGAGGAUGAUCAGCCACAUUGGGCCUGAGACACGGCCCAAACUCCCACGCGAGUCCGCAGUGGGGAAUAUUGAACAAUGGGCGCAAGCCUGGUCCAGCCAUGCAGCGUGAGUGAUGAAGGCCAUAGGGUUGUAAAGCUCUUUUGUGCGGGAAGAUAAUGACGGUACCGCAAGAAUAAGCCCCGGCUAACUUCGUGCCAGCCGCCGCAGUAA